rnacentral:rRNA from 1 species
AUUGAACGCUGGCGGCAGGCCUAACACAUGCAAGUCGAACGAGUGGCGGACGGGUGAGUAAUGUCUGGGAAACUGCCUGAUGGAGGGGGAUAACUACUGGAAACGGUAGCUAAUACCGCAUACCAUCGGAGGUGCCCAGAUGGGAUUAGCUAGUAGGUGGGGUAACGGCUCACCUAGGCGACGAUCCCUAGCUGGUCUGAGAGGAUGAACAGCCACACUGGAACUGAGACACGGUCCAGACGCCUACGGGAUGCAGCAGUGGGGAAUAGUGCACAAUGGGCGCAAGCCGGAUGCAGCCAGGCCGCGGGUAUGAAGAAGGCCUUCGGGUUGUAAAGUACUUUCAGCGAGGAGGCGUUACUCGCAGAAGAAGCACCGGCUAACUCCGUGCCAGCCGCCGCGGUAAUAC